CCCCACUCAAUCUGCUGACUUACUUCUCCAGCCUUCUCCUCACCUCUCUAGAUCUCUGCAAGUCACUGGUAAAAAGCUCUCCUUAUUUCUGUCGUCUGUAUAGCUGGUCUAAACUGUUCCCCCGCUCCAAAAUCCAGUGACACUUCUUGGGUUGACUGUGUUAUUUUGGGAGCACACAGAAGCCCCUCAAGAUCUCUACUGCACUGCCGAUUCUGCAGUUUUAAUUUCCGUUGUGAGGGAUGAUCCCCUUUUAGCAUUCCACUCGCAACUUCUUAAUUUUAUCUGUUUGUUAGUUCUCCUUUUUUUUGUUUCUGAUGUAUUGUUGGGGCUUAAAUAACCCCUUUCUCACUGUAUAUAUGGGGGGGGGGAACGCUCCUUGAAUUUGUGUCAAUAUCUUACUGGAGAGUCCAGCGCUAGCUCAUGGGGUCUGGAGGUGAAGGCACCUGAGGGCAGUCUCGCUCCCUUGCGCUGAGGUUCUCCCCUAAAUUUCUUCUUUUUAAAGUAUCUUAAAGUCCAGUUCUAGUGUGGGGAAACCCCUUUUUGCACUGCUGAGCGUCUGCUCCCGGGAAAUCCACCCGAGUAGGGGCAACUUACACCUCCUGUUGCUCCUGCUUCGCCUCUCCAGGUGCCGAGUGUGUCUCGAGCAGCUCAGAGCUCAAACUCUGACCAAACGCUGAGCGCACUAGUAAUUUCAUAUCAUGUCAUGUAUUCCAACAUAGCAGCAAAUAGUACAAUAAAGCCAAUUUUGACCUGAGUCCAUGAUUUGGAUAAAUGCAGUGUUCCUUGCUGCCAGUUCCAGAUCAAAGGAUGGCAACCAACAAAAUAGUUCUGUUAUUGCAAAGGCUUCUGGCUGUGCAAUGGAACUUAACUUCUCUCUCCACUUCCCAUGUCCAUCCCCUAAAUAAGCUCUGGGGGUUCUCCAGCCCUCUGGAGCAGAUUUUGGGGAAGUAUAAGGGUAUGCAGGGAGAGAAGAGGGAGAAGAAGUUCUAUGGUGCCAAUGGAAAUCCUUGAGCAAAUGGAACUUCUUCAUUGGACAGCACCCCAAGGGUGUGACAACACUGCAUAUGUAGGAUGAUAGUAUGUUCCAACCUUCUGCUGGCUGGGUGAGGUCUGUGCUUGUUUUUGGAGGCAGGUGGCGCUGUGGGUUAAACCACAGAGCCUAGGGCUUGCCGAUCAGAAGGUCGGCGGUUCGAAUCCCCGCGAUGGGGUGAGCUCCCGUUUCUUGGUCCCAGUUCCUGCCAACCUAGCAGUUCGAAAGCACGUCAAACUGCAAGUAGAUAAAUAGGUACGGCUCUGGUGGGAAGGUAAAUGGUGUUUCUGUGUGCUGCUCUGGUCCUCCAGAAGCGGCUUAGUCAUGCUGGCCACAUAACCUGGAAGCUGUAUGCCAGCUCCCUUGUCCAGUAAAGCGUGCGCUGCAACCCCAGAGUCGUCCGUGACUGGACCUAAUGGUCAGGGGUCCCUUUACCUUUACCUUCACCUUCUAUGCAGUGGAGUUCACCUCAGCCUCAGUACUCAAGUUAAAUUGCUCCAUUUGAGCACCUCUCAUUUUUGGGGGGGAAUGUGCUGGACUAGAGAUUUGUCCCACCCUGACAAAUGUGUUGAAUUAAAACCAAUAAGCAUAAAUAAAUAAAUAAAUAAAUAAAACCACACCCACCAAGUAUUGCUUUAAGGAUAAGGCUGACUUUCAAAGUGCUAUCACCAGAUACUACUACUACUGUACUACUACUACUACUAAUUUAUUUAUACCCUGCCCAACUGGCUGGGUUUCCCCAGCCGCUCUGGGUGACUCCCAAUAGAAUAUUAAAAACAUGAUAAAACAUCAAACAUUAAAAACUUCCCUAAAUAAUGAUGUAUAAGGUUGGGAGCUUUUCUCAUUCUUCCCCCAAAUGUUCAGGUUUUGGUAAUAUUUUAAAAUAUAUUUUCCUAAAAGAAACUAUGAAAGGCAAACCUAGAUUUAUUCAUGUCAUAUUUCAGUACAGAAAGAACCAGAUUUUGUUUUAAAAAACAUUUUAUUGGAUUUUAUAAUUUUAUGACACUAAAAAUGAAAACCAUUAAGUAAGACCUAGAUUUUCAGCUGGUCAGGACAGUGUUCUUUGUGUGUGUUAGGUGUCCAGCAAGCAUUCCUUCAUGAAUCCCAGAUGCUCAAGCAAUCAAGGGUGACCAGUUCUUCAUGUCAUGCGUAUCUUUACAGAAGUUGCAGAAUCAUAACUUAUUCUACAGUGUGCUACAUAGUAAUUUUUGUCUAGGUUAAUUUAUUCACAUGAGUGUUUUGGGUACAAUCCUGCAUACAAGCCACUGCAUUUAGCACUACUUAUUUCUAUCCCCCAAUAUCUUAAACACUCUUAAUAGUGCAUUAGAUCACACACUUCAAUAAAAUGGCUCAGUUUGUCAGAGUUUAGUAUUUAUAAGCUUCUCAUGCUCCACCUGAAAGAUAAUUUCAGUGUUUGAAAUCUUCUCAAGGCAUUUUUCACUUCUUUAUUCCUCAGGCUGUAGAUCAAGGGGUUGAGCAUGGGAAUCACCACAGUGUAGAAGACAGAAACCCAUUUGUCCUGAUCCAUGGCAUAGUUAGAACUUGGCCGCAGAUACAUGAAGACCGUUGUUCCAUAGAAGACAGUGACAGCCACCAGGUGUGAGGCGCAUGUUGAAAAAGCCUUUCGCUUCCCCUCUGUUGAGUGGAUUCUCAGGAUAGCAGACAGGAUGAAGGCGUAUGACACCACAAUUUCCACUGAAGUGAAUAUGCCCAGGACUGUGGCAAAUACAAAGAGAACCAUUUCAUGGAUGCUUGUGUCAGUGCAGGAAAGCGCCAAUAGUGGGGGAACAUCACAGAAGAAAUGGUUGAUGACAGAGCCACAAAAAGAUAGCAUGAAAGUGGAAAUCGUUUGGGUCAUUGCAUUCAUGAAGCCAACCAGGUAGGAUCCAGCCACCAUCAGAAGACACAUAUUGGGAGACAUAGUAGCCAUAUACAGCAGAGG
rnacentral:lncRNA from 1 species